rnacentral:rRNA from 1 species
AGGAGAUACACCUGUACCCAUGCCGAACACAGUAGUUAAGCCCU